rnacentral:tRNA from 1 species
UAAGGCGCUUGCCUCCGGAGCAAGAGAUUCCGGGUUCGAAUCCCGGC